UUUUUUUUUUCUUAACUUUUAUAGGUGGCGCACCUGAUGUGGUGAAUUCACAGGACUAAUGUGAAUUCUUAAAGUUCUGCUCCCUUGAACAUACUGAAGCUGGUAGUUCCAUGACUGACCAUAAAGGUCACUUAAAUUGCAUCUGAGAAGUUGAACUGGCUGAAACCUGAUGUUCAUCCCUGUACUAUAGAUCUGCUGAACUGAAGUGUUUACUGGUGUUAGUAACUGGCAGUGACUUUUCUUUUGAGUUUUUAUUAAGAUUGCAAAAUAAAUGGCUCUUUUGUAUUUGCAGUUUCAAAUA